GGUGAAGUGGCUGAGUUGUAAGCAUUAGACUGUAAAUUUAAGUACGAGGGAAUACUCCUUUACCA
rnacentral:tRNA from 1 species